rnacentral:rRNA from 1 species
CCUACGGGAGGCAGCAGUGGGGAAUAUUGCACAAUGGGCGAAAGCCUGAUGCAGCGACGCCGCGUGAGGGAUGACGGCCUUCGGGUAGUAAACCUCUUUCAGUAGGGAAGAAGCGAAAGUGACGGUACCUGCAGAAGAAGCGCCGGCUAACAACGUGCCAGCAGCCGCGGUAAU